UACGUAGGGGGCAAGCGUUGUCCGGAUUUAUUGGGCGUAAAGAGCGUGUAGGCGGUCAGGUAGGUCCGUUGUGAAAACUCGAGGCUCAACCUCGAGACGCCGAUGGAAACCAUCUGACUAGAGUCCGGAAGAGGAGAGUGGAAUUCCUGGUGUAGCGGUGAAAUGCGCAGAUAUCAGGAAGAACACCAAUGGCGAAGGCAGCUCGCUGGGACGGUACUGACGCUGAGACGCGAAAGCGUGGGGAGCAAACAGG
rnacentral:rRNA from 1 species